rnacentral:misc_RNA from 1 species
UCACCUCUCAAGCCUGGCUUGCUGUUGGACUCUAGGUCAUGCUUUAGCUAAGACCGGUCCCAAAGAUAAUGACGGCGUCUGUGAGGACCCCAGUACAAUGAGCUUUUAUAGCAUGUAUUAGGCGGGAGUCCAGGCCCGGUCUUACUUGUAAUUUUAUCAAGG